rnacentral:misc_RNA from 1 species
UUUUUUUUUUUUUUUUGCAAUUUGUUUUCGUUGGUGUGUAGUUCAUAAAUCGGAAAGAUGUUAUAUGUGUGGGAUUUCGUUAACUCAAUCUCUUUAUUGCAUGUUAAGCUUGUCCUGUUGCAUGGUGAAAUUGCUCUGUCCUUUAGAAAUUUCAGCCAAAAUAAACUACUUUGGAAGCUCAUAUUUGUCAUAGCUUUAGUGGCUGUUGCUGCAUUUUCCCUGAUGUAAGGGGGUUUACAAUUAUUGAAAGAAACUCUUCUGUCUGAUUAUUUGAGAAUAAAAGGGGUUCCAUAAGUUAUCAUUUUUACUUCUAUCUGUGCUAUCAUUUGCUUAAACUAUUUGCAACAAAACGAAUUAUUUCACGGGUUUUUAUUGGAAUUCUUUGUUAGUAGCAUGCAUAAUCUAAUAUAAUUCAAUUUUAUUGGUUGGGACAUUCCCUUUACUUCCAAGUAAUGUGAAUGUGGCAUCCAUAGAUGUUGGGGGGUUUGGUUAGGUACUUGGAUUGAUUCUCAAGUUAAUUUUCUCAAGAAGCAUGUUUAUAUUGCCUACAUAUAAGAAAAUUUUCUUCUUUCCUUUUUCCUAAAUCUUAUUGAUUUAACUUUUGUUCUCCUGUGUUGUAUUUUGAGGAAGUUGAACCUGAUUUAACCAACUUGGUGAAAUCCAUUUCUUUUAUUUAUUUUGCUAUCAUUUUUCUCUCCUUUGCUUUGUGGUAUGUUGAUGCAGUGUUGAAAGAAGAUUUAAUUUAGGAUUCUAUUAAUUAGGAGG